ACACAAUUAGAUGAUUUGAAAUAUUUUUAAUCUCCUAAUUUACAUACAAUGUGCAAAAUAUAAGUAUUUAUUGAAAAUGUAGUAAAAGAUGUCUUAUAUUAUCAAGUGGAAAUUCAGAAUCCAAACUGUUUUGUACUUUAUCUAACAAUUUAAACAGGAACUAAUAAAAUCAACUCAUGAUAAUACCAUACAUCAACACUUACAAAGAAUCUCACUAUACUACUAGAUUUCUUU